rnacentral:misc_RNA from 1 species
CUGAAUCUGAUUGCGUCCGCGAUUGGCGUUGAGUUGUAUUGCAGCCGCUGGCAAUAAUGCCAGGAGAGUUAUCAACUAUUUUUGUAGCGUAUAGAUCGCUUCUGCGCGAAUUCCAGUAUCAUAGUAUUCGUGACUGUCUGUGUGUGGGGACGAUGCCGUGGCGUGCCGGAACCCCCCACGCUCCUUGGGUAAGCCCUCCAGUACGACUCUGCUAAAUCUGCCGCUGGUGUUGUACACUCCGUCAGUGGUCCCUCAGAGAGUCUCCUCGCUGAUCUUCAAGCCAUAAUAAACUACUGUAGAAGAUGAUCUUCAGGCACUUCAAGGAUGUAAUCUUCCUGGUUGUCAUACUGAGCAUGUUAUUUUGGUUUACAUUUGUGCCGUAUUUAAUUGGCAUAACCAAAUGGAAUAGCAGCGACCUUCCCAGCAAAGGAGACCACGACUUUGAGGACCAGUACUUCCUGCCUCUCAUGGAUGCCUUCCGCUCUGCUAGCCAGGCCUCCAGCAGCGCCUCUACACCUGCACGUAGGUUCAGGUCUGGUGAGGUUCCAAGAUUCUUGCUGUGGUCCAAGCCGUAUAACCACGAGUUCUGGAUGUCUCAGCUCACUCACAUCUCCCGAGGUCUUUGUCCUCGACCAUGUAGCUUCACCGUCAAUGUCUCCCAGAUGAGCAGCGUUGACGCUGUGGUAGUGUACCUGCGAGGCAUUCCGAGCAGACAGCGCCUUCUGCAGGAGCUGGCGCCCCGCGACCCCACCCAGCCUUGGAUCAUCAGUACCUUCGAGGCGCCCCCCAGAGCCAACAGUAUUCACCACACCGACUACAGAACCCUCGGCGGCAUCUUCAACCGCACGAUGCUUUAUCGCAGAGACGCGGACGUAGUGGUGCCUCACGGGUUUAUCGUACAUCAAGACGAAGCCGCUCUUCUGCCCAGAUCGUGGCGAGUCCCUCCACCCAUACACCCAGGCAACUUUCACGCGCGUAAGAUGGUCGUGGCCUUCAUCUCUAAUUGCAAGGCAAACAGUGGUCGUCUAGAGUACGCAAAAGCCCUCCAAAAACACAUUUCUGUUGACAUUUAUGGCAAAUGCGGCACUCUGGAAUGUGGUCACUCCUUGUACGUCGACCACAGAUAUGACCCGACGUUAGAUCGUUGUUUACAAGCUGCUGGCGAAGGAUAUCUCUUCUAUUUGGCCUUUGAGAGCUCCCUCUGCACUGACUAUGUAACGGAGAAGUUGUACAACCUCAUGUUCUACCCGAUUGUGCCCAUUGUGCUUGGGUCUGCUAACUACUCGGCUGCCUUGCCACCCAACUCCUACAUUGAUGCUCAGCAUUACAGGCCCAGGCAACUGGCGGUCAAGCUGAGAGCAAUUGCAGAGAACCCGAAGGAAUACCAGAAGUAUUUAGCGUGGAGGCGCCACUACCAGCCUUCUACCAUCGGCGGGGAGCGUAGCCUAUGCCACCUCUGCGUUCGCCUUCACGAUCCCAAAUUUUACCAGCACCAUGUGAUCGAUGACUUCUACGAUUGGUUUGUAGCGCAGUCUCAACCCUCAGACGGCCGCGGACGAUGUAUAUGAAUACAGAUUUCUUUUGAAUUCACGUAGAUUACGUGAGAAAAAUGUCUGGAUGCUAUGAACUAUUUAUACCAUGAGUUGGAUCAUGCAGAAGGUGACGUCACCCAAGGCAGGAUGAUGUGGUAGCGCUGUCGUUGCUGGAAGGCAGAUGUAGGGGUGUGACUUGCCAUAGAAGGCAGCUGUGAGGUGUGACUUGCCAUGGAAGGCAGCUAGAUGUAACUUGCCCCCUGGAAGGUAACCGUGAGGUGUGACUUGCUCCUGGAAGGCAGCUGUGAGGUGUGACUUGUUCCUGGAAGGCAGCUAUGAGGCGUGACUUCUCUAGCACUGGGGUUGCAGAUAUGUGCCUACAGGCAGUCCCCAUAAUUAGACAUACCUAAUUUUACACUUAAUAGAUAAAUAUUUAACUUAAUAAAGAUUAAAGACUCA